CCUUUACUGGAAGAAACUCGAGCAGAAGUGCAUUCAAGUAUGGAAACUCUUAAUAGAGCACCGUUUGCUGAAGUAGUGGGUUUUGAAGAAUUGAAGCCAUAUGGAACAAAGCUAUAUGAUGUCAAGGUUGAUUACUGGCGAAACAGGUUCAGUGAUAGAGGGUGGGAAGGUCAUGGGCUUUUGCAUCGGCCACUAGUGUCUCAGAAAGUGAGAAUGAAGAUGACAGUACCUCUCUUUAUUUUAAAGUCAAGGCAUCGAAAGAGUUUGAAGUCGAAAAUAUCAGGACAUCACUUUUUAUAGUUUUCUUGGUUAAUUUGAUCCCUGAAGGAAGAGUUUGGAAAGCAUUGCACAUGUCCAGAAAUCUGAAGAUUAUCAACGGAGUUCUGUGCACUGAUUCAAUGGUAAUGAGGUUUUGUUUUGUUAUCUUGUUUAACUAAUCAGCAUUGUAGGUUUUGUUAUAGAGCUACAACAACAUGAACAAAUAUGGGAUGAAUCAGUAGGUUUUCAUAAUUAUCAAGAUAAUUCCCUAAUAAUUCUGACACAAUGUCUUCCUCCUAGGAUUUAGGGACUGAUGCAAUACAUGAUUUGACUUUCUUUGAUUUGAACAGUAAUUGAUUUAUAUUAAUCAAACUAUAUAUACUGGAUUGAUUGACUGAUGCAAUCACAUGUUUUGACUUUCUUUACCCUUGU